CGAACGCUGGCGGCAGGCUUAACACAUGCAAGUCGAACGGUUGUAGCAAUACAGCAGUGGCAGACGGGUGAGUAACACGUGGGAACCUUCCUAGGGGUACGGAACAACUCAGGGAAACUUGAGCUAAUACCGUAUACGUCCGUGAGGAGAAAGAUUUAUCGCCCUUAGACGGGCCCGCGUCGGAUUAGCUAGUUGGUGGGGUAACGGCCUACCAAGGCGACGAUCCGUAGCUGAUCUUAGAGGAUGAUCAGCCACACUGGGACUGAGACACGGCCCAGACUCCUACGGGAGGCAGCAGUGGGGAAUCUUGGACAAUGGGCGCAAGCCUGAUCCAGCCAUGCCGCGUGAGUGAAGAAGGUCUUCGGAUUGUAAAGCUCUUUUGCCAGGGACGAUAAUGACGGUACCUGGAGAAUAAGCCCCGGCAAACUUCGUGCCAGCCGCCGCGGUAAUCUGAUGGCGCGAGG
rnacentral:rRNA from 1 species